rnacentral:rRNA from 1 species
AGAGUUUGAUCCUGGCUCAGAUUGAACGCUGGCGGUAGGCCUAACACAUGCAAGUCGAGCGGUAACAGGGGUAGCUUGCUACCCGCUGACGAGCGGCGGACGGGUGAGUAAUGCAUAGGAAUCUGCCUGGUAGUGGGGGAUAGCCCAGAGAAAUUUGGAUUAAUACCGCAUACACCCUACGGGGAAAAGCAGGGGAUCAUUCUCUUUUCGGAGAGACCGACCUUGCGCUAUCAGAUGAGCCUAUGUCGGAUUAGCUUGUUGGUGAGGUAAAGGCUCACCAAGGCGACGAUCCGUAGCUGGUCUGAGAGGAUGAUCAGCCACACUGGGACUGAGACACGGCCCAGACUCCUACGGGAGGCAGCAGUGGGGAAUAUUGGACAAUGGGCGAAAGCCUGAUCCAGCCAUACCGCGUGUGUGAAGAAGGCUCUAGGGUUGUAAAGCACUUUCAGCGAGGAGGAAAGGGAAAUCGUUAAUACCGGUUUCCUGUGACGUUACUCGCAGAAGAAGCACCGGCUAACUCCGUGCC